ensembl:miRNA Gm25317 predicted gene, 25317
CCCAGUUAAAUUAGAAUCACAAACAACAACUAGCUGUUUUUGCUUAAGUAUAGCCCAUGAAGUAUUUGGGACAUUCUUGUGCUAAAAAUAAUUACCUAUUUGCAAUUCUAAUUUAUCUAAGCACCUGUA